rnacentral:lncRNA from 1 species
CGGGAGGAAGACGUACUCGGCAGGAGAGGGGUCGUCCUGAGUUGCAUAACAUUUCAAUACCUAGUUUGAGUUUCAAUUCCUGGUUCUCUCAGACUAUAUUUCCCAAUUUCUUUGAAGUAUCUGAAAUAAGCAUUAUGGGGGACCUCUUGUCUGAGUUUUCAACUUUUCCUAAAGCAUCUGUUUGAGCAAGCAGGCAAGGCAUAAAGCUAGAGUUGUUUCUGUCAAAAGACGCACCUUUUCAUUUUUCAGCAUGAUAACUAUGGUAUUGAAAGAUUCCAGCUUGAUUUAAAAUAGGUUUAGAUUGUCAUUUAUAUAGAGUGGAUUCCGAGUCUUCAUUUAUAAUUGAAUAUAAGGGACUCAAUUCAUGUAUAUAAAUGACAACUCUAAACCUUCUAAUUGACACCUAAUAAACUGGGUAUACACUCCUAAUUCAUCUUCUAAAUUUAUUCUUGAUUUAGAAAUGAUAAUUAAGAAGAUUUCUUGGUGUACUUAAGAAAUUUGGUAUCUUAAAUUUUGUUGCUUGAAAGUUGCCGAUUGUAUUUUAAAGCUGCGUUUGUAAUUGUGUUAAUCUAGUACUUAUUUAAUGAUUUCAAAAGCUAUUUCUUUCUUUCCUCAGUUAAUCCAAAGACAAUGGUAGGAAAACGUUGCCGCGAAGUGCUGGUCUUCUACUCCGACACAGAGCCAGUAAGUGUAGUAUUUUGGCAUUGCAGGUUAAGUACUAUGUAUAAAACAGGAAUGUCAUGUUUCUGACUGGUAGCAUUGUUGGCUGUAAAUAAACUUGUGUAAAUUCUGUAGCUUGUCUAUGUAAAUAUAUGACUCCCAUGGAAUGUUCCAUUUUAUUAUGUUAGUUUUUAUGUUUAUGGGUAUCUUUGUAACUUGAAACUAAUUCCAUGUAUUAGCUACUGAAACCUACACUUUAUUAUGGCAUGUAUUAGAUUAAGAUUAUGUUUAUGCGUAUCUUUCUAACUAACUACUACUUC